GGGGAAUCUUGCACAAUGGGCGCAAGCCUAAUCCAGCAAUGCCGCGUGCAGGAAGAAGGCCUUCGGGUUGUAAACUGCUUUUGUCAGGGAAGAAAUCCUCUGGGUUAAUACCUCGGGGGGAUGACGGUACCUGAAGAAUAAGCACCGGCUAACUACGUGCCAGCAGCCGCGGUAAUACGUAGGGUGCGAGCGUUAAUCGGAAUUACUGGGCGUAAAGCGUGCGCAGGCGGCUUUGCAAGACAGAUGUGAAAUCCCCGGGCUCAACCUGGGAACUGCAUUUGUGACUGCAAGGCUAGAGUACGGCAGAGGGGGAUGGAAUUCCGCGUGUAGCAGUGAAAUGCGUAGAUAUGCGGAGGAACACCGAUGGCGAAGGCAAUCCCCUGGGCCUGUACUGACGCUCAUGCACGAAAGCGUGGGGAGCAAAC
rnacentral:rRNA from 1 species